rnacentral:rRNA from 1 species
GACGAACGCUGGCGGCGUGCUUAACACAUGCAAGUCGAGCGAGAAACCUUCGGGUUUCUAGCGGCGGACGGGUGAGUAACACGUGGGUAACCUGCCUUAAUGAGGGGGAUAGCCUUCCGAAAGGAAGAUUAAUACCGCAUAACAUUGAGUUUUCGCAUGAAGAUUCAAUCAAAGAUUUAUCGCAUUAAGAUGGACCCGCGGCGCAUUAGCUAGUUGGUGAGGUAACGGCUCACCAAGGCAACGAUGCGUAGCCGACCUGAGAGGGUGAUCGGCCACAUUGGGACUGAGACACGGCCCAGACUCCUACGGGAGGCAGCAGUGGGGAAUAUUGCACAAUGGGGGAAACCCUGAUGCAGCAACGCCGCGUGGAGGAUGACGCAUUUCGGUGUGUAAACUCCUUUUAUAAGGGAAGAUAAUGACGGUACCUUAUGAAUAAGCACCGGCUAACUCCGUG